GGGUUGUGAGGUUAAGCGACUAAGCGUACACGGUGGAUGCCCUGGCAGUCAGAGGCGAUGAAGGACGUGCUAAUCUGCGAUAAGCGUCGGUAAGGUGAUAUGAACCGUUAUAACCGGCGAUUUCCGAAUGGGGAAACCCAGUGUGUUUCGACACACUAUCAUUAACUGAAUCCAUAGGUUAAUGAGGCGAACCGGGGGAACUGAAACAUCUAAGUACCCCGAGGAAAAGAAAUCAACCGAGAUUCCCCCAGUAGCGGCGAGCGAACGGGGAGCAGCCCAGAGCCUGAAUCAGUGUGUGUGUUAGUGGAAGCGUCUGGAAAGGCGCGCGAUACAGGGUGACAGCCCCGUACACAAAAAUACACAUACUGUGAGCUCGAUGAGUAGGGCGGGACACGUGGUAUCCUGUCUGAAUAUGGGGGGACCAUCCUCCAAGGCUAAAUACUCCUGACUGACCGAUAGUGAACCAGUACCGUGAGGGAAAGGCGAAAAGAACCCCGGCGAGGGGAGUGAAAAAGAACCUGAAACCGUGUACGUACAAGCAGUGGGAGCACGCUUAGGCGUGUGACUGCGUACCUUUUGUAUAAUGGGUCAGCGACUUAUAUUCUGUAGCAAGGUUAACCGAAUAGGGGAGCCGAAGGGAAACCGAGUCUUAACUGGGCGUUAAGUUGCAGGGUAUAGACCCGAAACCCGGUGAUCUAGCCAUGGGCAGGUUGAAGGUUGGGUAACACUAACUGGAGGACCGAACCGACUAAUGUUGAAAAAUUAGCGGAUGACUUGUGGCUGGGGGUGAAAGGCCAAUCAAACCGGGAGAUAGCUGGUUCUCCCCGAAAGCUAUUUAGGUAGCGCCUCGUGAAUUCAUCUCCGGGGGUAGAGCACUGUUUCGGCAAGGGGGUCAUCCCGACUUACCAACCCGAUGCAAACUGCGAAUACCGGAGAAUGUUAUCACGGGAGACACACGGCGGGUGCUAACGUCCGUCGUGAAGAGGGAAACAACCCAGACCGCCAGCUAAGGUCCCAAAGUCAUGGUUAAGUGGGAAACGAUGUGGGAAGGCCCAGACAGCCAGGAUGUUGGCUUAGAAGCAGCCAUCAUUUAAAGAAAGCGUAAUAGCUCACUGGUCGAGUCGGCCUGCGCGGAAGAUGUAACGGGGCUAAACCAUGCACCGAAGCUGCGGCAGCGACGCUUAUGCGUUGUUGGGUAGGGGAGCGUUCUGUAAGCCUGCGAAGGUGUGCUGUGAGGCAUGCUGGAGGUAUCAGAAGUGCGAAUGCUGACAUAAGUAACGAUAAAGCGGGUGAAAAGCCCGCUCGCCGGAAGACCAAGGGUUCCUGUCCAACGUUAAUCGGGGCAGGGUGAGUCGACCCCUAAGGCGAGGCCGAAAGGCGUAGUCGAUGGGAAACAGGUUAAUAUUCCUGUACUUGGUGUUACUGCGAAGGGGGGACGGAGAAGGCUAUGUUGGCCGGGCGACGGUUGUCCCGGUUUAAGCGUGUAGGCUGGUUUUCCAGGCAAAUCCGGAAAAUCAAGGCUGAGGCGUGAUGACGAGGCACUACGGUGCUGAAGCAACAAAUGCCCUGCUUCCAGGAAAAGCCUCUAAGCAUCAGGUAACAUCAAAUCGUACCCCAAACCGACACAGGUGGUCAGGUAGAGAAUACCAAGGCGCUUGAGAGAACUCGGGUGAAGGAACUAGGCAAAAUGGUGCCGUAACUUCGGGAGAAGGCACGCUGAUAUGUAGGUGAAGCGACUUGCUCGUGGAGCUGAAAUCAGUCGAAGAUACCAGCUGGCUGCAACUGUUUAUUAAAAACACAGCACUGUGCAAACACGAAAGUGGACGUAUACGGUGUGACGCCUGCCCGGUGCCGGAAGGUUAAUUGAUGGGGUUAGCGCAAGCGAAGCUCUUGAUCGAAGCCCCGGUAAACGGCGGCCGUAACUAUAACGGUCCUAAGGUAGCGAAAUUCCUUGUCGGGUAAGUUCCGACCUGCACGAAUGGCGUAAUGAUGGCCAGGCUGUCUCCACCCGAGACUCAGUGAAAUUGAACUCGCUGUGAAGAUGCAGUGUACCCGCGGCAAGACGGAAAGACCCCGUGAACCUUUACUAUAGCUUGACACUGAACAUUGAGCCUUGAUGUGUAGGAUAGGUGGGAGGCUUUGAAGUGUGGACGCCAGUCUGCAUGGAGCCGACCUUGAAAUACCACCCUUUAAUGUUUGAUGUUCUAACGUUGACCCGUGAUCCGGGUUGCGGACAGUGUCUGGUGGGUAGUUUGACUGGGGCGGUCUCCUCCUAAAGAGUAACGGAGGAGCACGAAGGUUGGCUAAUCCUGGUCGGACAUCAGGAGGUUAGUGCAAUGGCAUAAGCCAGCUUGACUGCGAGCGUGACGGCGCGAGCAGGUGCGAAAGCAGGUCAUAGUGAUCCGGUGGUUCUGAAUGGAAGGGCCAUCGCUCAACGGAUAAAAGGUACUCCGGGGAUAACAGGCUGAUACCGCCCAAGAGUUCAUAUCGACGGCGGUGUUUGGCACCUCGAUGUCGGCUCAUCACAUCCUGGGGCUGAAGUAGGUCCCAAGGGUAUGGCUGUUCGCCAUUUAAAGUGGUACGCGAGCUGGGUUUAGAACGUCGUGAGACAGUUCGGUCCCUAUCUGCCGUGGGCGCUGGAGAACUGAGGGGGGCUGCUCCUAGUACGAGAGGACCGGAGUGGACGCAUCACUGGUGUUCGGGUUGUCAUGCCAAUGGCACUGCCCGGUAGCUAAAUGCGGAAGAGAUAAGUGCUGAAAGCAUCUAAGCACGAAACUUGCCCCGAGAUGAGUUCUCCCUGACUCCUUGAGAGUCCUGAAGGAACGUUGAAGACGACGACGUUGAUAGGCCGGGUGUGUAAGCGCAGCGAUGCGUUGAGCUAACCGGUACUAAUGAACCGUGAGGCUUAACCUUACAACGCCGAAGCUGUU
rnacentral:rRNA from 1 species